rnacentral:rRNA from 1 species
GACGAACGCUGGCGGCGUGCUUAACACAUGCAAGUCGAACGGAAAGGCCCUGCUGUUGUGGGGUGCUCGAGUGGCGAACGGGUGAGUAACACGUGAGUAACCUGCCCUUGACUGUGGGAUAACUUCAGGAAACUGGGGCUAAUACCGGAUAGGAGCUCCUGCUGCCUGGUGGGGGUUGGAAAGUUUCGGCGGUUGGGGAUGGACUCGCGGCUUAUCAGCUUGUUGGUGGGGUAGUGACUUACCAAGGCUUUGGCGGGUAGCCGGCCUGAGAGGGUGACCGGCCACAUUGGGACUGAGAUACGGCCCAGACUCCUACGGGAGGCAUCAGUGGGGAAUAUUGCACAAUGGGCGGAAGCCUGAUGCAGCCACGCCGCGUGCGGGAUGACGGCCUUCGGGUUGUAAACCGCUUUCGCCUGUGACGAAGCGUGAGUGACGGUAAUGGGUAAAGAAGCACCGGCUAACUACGUG